rnacentral:snoRNA from 1 species
UCACCUGAUGAUACACCACUUUAUUUUACUUUUUCUGGUACCUCUUAUAUCAUCGGGUCUUCGGACCCGAAAUGUAUUAAACGGACUUCUGAUC